rnacentral:tRNA from 1 species
UUUUAUUUGGCAGAAAAUUGCAUUAGAUUUAGAAUCUAAUUAUACUAACUAUUUCCUUAAUUAAUU